ACGCUCACCCAGCCUUAUCUCUUCCUCACGAGACUCCUCAACCAUUCGUUCUCCACCGCCGCUCUAUCUUUCUGUCUCUCUCAAUCCAAUUCAAGCAUGGCGACUGCAAGCAAGCUCAGUUUUGUGAGUUCUUGGCCACAUUGCUGGGUUGCGUGGGGUGACGAUGCUGCAACACCAGGUGGGCGCCGACGGGCCUGAUGGUGGUGCGGGGGACGCACCCAUGGAUGCUAGCGAGAGCUACAACCAUGGCAGCUAGAUGCUGGAACCCGCACAAAUUUUUGUUUCCAUCGGCGUUUUAUUUUUUUGCCGAAACUAGCGCCGUUUUUGAAGGUUUUGCUACCACCGAUUUGUUUUUUGCUGGAACCAGCAUCAUUUUUUUGCUACCAUCGGAUUUUUGAUUUGCUGGAACCUGCCCCUCGACUUUGCAUCUUUGUUACCACCACCGCGGCCAGAUGCUGGAAUCCGCACAAGUUUUUGCUUCCAUUUAUGUUUUGGUUUUGCUGAAACUAGCAUCAUUUUUUGUAUUUUUUGCUACCACCAUUUUGUAUUUUGCUGGAAUCAAUGUCAAUUUUUGCUACCACAGGAUUUUUGAAAUGUUGGAACCAGCCCUCAAUUUUGCAUCUUUGCUACCACCGGCGUUUUGGUUUGCUGGAAUAAGCUUCAAUUUUUGCUACCAUGAGGUUUUGUUUUGUUGGAAUGGCGUCUGAUUCCCGUUUUUUUUGCUACCACCGUUAUUUAAUUUGCUGGAACCAGCGUCAAUAUUUGGUACCAUUGCCGUUUGGUGCGAGACCACGGAGUCGUCGCCAUUGUUUCUGCAGGAGGGCGAGGGAGGGGGAUGGGCCGCGCCGGUGAGGGGUUGUAAUGGCCGAUAAGCGCGGGCGGCCAAGGAUGCGGCGGCCCGUAGGUUGCCGGCGAGCAUGAGGCCGAGGGCGAACGUGGGGCGGCCAAGGAUGCGGCGGCGAGCGCGGAUUGCAUGCGAGCACGAGGCCGAGGACGAGCGCGGGCGGCGCAAGUAGAAGGCAAGCGCGGUGCCGUGGGAAAGCUGCGCGAGAUGGCGAGAUGCGGGAAGCUGCGCGAGCGCGAGAUGCGUCAGGACAAAGACGUCUGGGGCGAACCCUUUUUUUUUACUAUAUCCAACGGUCAGGGCUAGUGGCAUCCGGUGGCUAGGGCGCGACCGGCCCAAAUUUGGGCCGGCGCGCCGGCGCCUAGCUUUGCCCUAAAAAUAAGGUCAAAAUUGUGUUAAAGUUUUCUGCAGCGGCCACUUGGUGCUGAACUUUCUCAAAAUGGUUAAAUAUGUGAUUUCAGCUA